rnacentral:rRNA from 1 species
UAGGGAAUCUUCGGCAAUGGGGGGAACCCUGACCGAGCAACGCCGCGUGAGUGAAGAAGGUUUUCGGAUCGUAAAGCUCUGUUGUUAAGGAAGAACGAGUGUGAGAAUGGAAAGUUCAUGCUGUGACGGUACUUAACUAGAAAGGGACGGCUAACUACGUGCCAGCAGCCGCGGUAAUACGUAGGUGGCAAGCGUUGUCCGGAUUUAUUGGGCGUAAAGCGAGCGCAGGCGGUCAAUUAAGUCUGAUGUGAAAGCCCCCGGCUCAACCGGGGAGGGUCAUUGGAAACUGGUUGACUUGAGUGCAGAAGAGGAGAGUGGAAUUCCAUGUGUAGCGGUGAAAUGCGUAGAUAUAUGGAGGAACACCAGUGGCGAAGGCGACUCUCUGGUCUGUAACUGACGCUGAGGCUCGAAAGCGUGGGUAGCAAACAGG